rnacentral:rRNA from 1 species
UACGGAAGGGGCAAGCGUUGUUCGGAAUUACUGGGCGUAAAGCGCGCGUAGGCGGACCUGCAAGUCGGGGGUGAAAGCCCGAGGCUCAACCUCGGAACUGCCUUCGAUACUGCGGGUCUCGAGUCCGGGAGAGGUGAGUGGAAUUCCUAGUGUAGAGGUGAAAUUCGUAGAUAUUAGGAAGAACACCAGUGGCGAAGGCGGCUCACUGGCCCGGUACUGACGCUGAGGCGCGAAAGCGUGGGGAGCAAACAGG